rnacentral:rRNA from 1 species
UCGAGGAUCUUCCGCAAUGGGCGCAAGCCUGACGGAGCGACGCCGCGUGGAGGACGAAGGCCUUAGGGUUGUAAACUCCUGUCGAGGGUUAUGAAUGGCGUUUGGUGAACAGCCAAGCGAGUGACGUAAGCCCUGGAGGAAGCACCGGCUAACUCUGUGCCAGCAGCCGCGGUAAUACAGAGGGUGCAAACGUUGUUCGGAAUUACUGGGCAUAAAGCGCACGUAGGCGGCGCGUUAAGUGCGGGGUGAA